rnacentral:lncRNA from 1 species
AAGUGUCCCAGGAGCAGUUGGUGGCACCGGGCUGGGCCGUCCCCUCCAUGGCCACGUCCCCACCAGGGGCCAGCAGGACUUUGUCACUUCCUGGGGACGUGGUCACGGUUCCAACCAUCGUGGUGGCAUCUCCGGUGACAUCGGGGACACGUCCCAAAGUGUCCCAGGAGCAGUUGGUGGCACCGGGCCGGGCCGUCCCCUCCAUGGCCACGUCCCCACCAGGGGCCAGCAGGGAUUUGUCACCUCCUGGGGACGUGGUCACUGCUGAAACCACGGUGGUGGCAUCUCCGGUGACGUCAGUGACACGUCCCAAAGUGUCCCCAAGGCCACCGGUGGCACUCGGGUCUUCGGUCACCUCCAUGGCCACGCCCCCUGCGGUGGCCACCAGGACUUUGUCACUUCCUGGGGACGCUGGGACAGAGGUCACCACGGUGGUGGCAUCUUCAAUGACGUCAUUGAGGUGUCCCAAAGUGUCCCUGGGGUCACCGGUGACACCGGGCUGGGCCGUCCCCUCCAUGGCCACGUCCCCACCAGGGGCCAGCAGGGAUUUGUCACCUCCUGGGGACGUGGUCACUGCUGAAACCACGGUGGUGGCAUCUCCGGUGACAUCGGGGACGCGUCCCAAAGUGUCCCCAGAGCAGUUGGUGGCACCUGGGACAUCGGUCACCGCCAUGGCCACGCCCCCAGCGGUGGCCACCAAGACUUUGUCACCUCCUGGGGACGCUGGGACAGAGGUCACCACGGUGGUGGCAUCUCCGGGGGCUUCGGUGACGCGUCCCAAAGUGUCCCCAAGGCCACCGGUGACACCCAGUCCCUCUGUCCCCUCCGUGGCCACGCCCCCAGCGGUGGCCACCAGGACUUUGUCACCUCCCGAGGUCACGGCGGUGGUGGCACCUCCGGUGACGUCACUCGGGUGUCCCUCCAUGUCCCCAAGGCCCCCCGCUCCUUCCGUGGCCCCGCCCCUUCCGGUUCCCGCCGGGUCUUCGUCGCCUCCCGCGGGGGCGGGGCCGGGUGACACUUCGGCGGUGACGUCAUCGUCGGCC